GUUAAUGUAGCUUAAAAAAAAAAGCAAGGCACUGAAAAUGCCUAGAUGGGCUCUAUAGCCCCAUAAACA
rnacentral:tRNA from 1 species